GUUACCCGGCCCUAGUCUAUAUAACGGUCAGGGGGAGCAACGCAUCUGUUUUGCACAUAAGAGAUCGGAUAGUAAUAUCUGUUGCUUAAACCAACAAAAAAAAAACCACAACCAGCUACAAUGACUAACAUGACAUUCGUGUGUCUUGGAGUGCUCGUGCUGGCCAUUUAUUUACCAACACAGGUAGAUUCUGUGAACAACACAACAACACCACCAAGUGCCAAUCAGACGAACGGCACGAAUGUAACUGCAACGUUGUCUCCAACUGCCACUCUGUCUGGCUCUGGAAACUCAACGACCACCAAAGGCACUGGCAAUGGCCUGCAGUCCCCUCUCAGCUCCAUCCUCGUCCCACUCAUCACAUCUGCCUCCAUACUCCGUCUCUGCUGUUAAAGCCGGUUUAGAAAAGAGACAACCCAAACUUUAAAAUCCAAUAGUGAAGAUGGAAACAAAAUCAUCCAGAGAUCGAAUUAUUUAAAACUCAGCUGUUUUUGUUGUGUCAAUGUGUCUGUUAUGAAAGAAAAAAAAAAACAUAAAUCAAAAGAAACUAGCUACCACCAGAACUUUCUACAGACGGAUCUGGAGAGCCAACAUAUCGAAUACACAUGUCAACACUGCUUUGGAAACCUUUAUCGAGCAAGUUCUUAAUUGUACCCCUUCUAAUAAACAACACCAAUUUGAUGAAGGCCUAUGCCAGUAAACACAGAAGUCAUCAGUGGGCAAACCCAUAUCACUGAACAGAACUGUUUGAAAGCCCAUGAAGUGUGAGGAAACCCUUUUUGGCCACUAUUGAAGCAGCUAGUUGAAUUUGACACGUCCAGCAAUUUUCACCAAGUUGCUCAAAUCAAAAUGUUUUUUGGUGUUAAACUCGUCAAACUGGGACAAUUGAUAGACAAUGCCACCAACUAGUUGCUAGAAAAGUUGCCUGCUAGUUCUCAUUGUAAUUUCUGCUGAGGUUUAUGUAGGUUCAUGCAGAGCUGUUUGUGAGCUUCUAGACAUCCCAUAAAACAUUGAUAUUAAAAAGGUCAGUCAUUUGAAAACAGUGGCCAAAAUGAAACUUUAACUCCUGCUUGAAGGAAACUUUGUCUUUGUUUUUCUCAAUGCUUUGAAAAAUAAAAACAAACUAAAACUCACUCUAAAACCGUUGGAAAGGGUUUUAUAAAACGAAAACCUGAUUUAAUUAAUCAGAAAUGGGAUUUAAAACAAAAACAGUCCUUCAAGUUUUGUGAACAGGGCCCAUAGGUAUAAAAUUGACACCCAAACCCAGCUUUUGAAUUCUUUCAAUUUCUAUUUUAACAAGAGAUUUUGUUUGUUUUCAAUUCUGGAUUUUUAUUUCCAAGAAAAUAUGCAUGUAAAAAUAUUAUAUCAUAUUCACAUUCAAGAUUAAAGUAGAUGGUCAGAAGUAGGGUUUAUGUACCAUAUUACAAUAAUAGCAUGUAUGCAUGUUCAUUUGCUUUUUUUUCAUAGCUAGACAAGAUCUUACAAGAUUACAGGAUAUCUUAAGGACAUUUUUACAUUUCUUUAUUGUACAAGCUACCCAACAAUAGUGCAGACAGCAUUUCAGCUCGUGAGAUUGUUAAAUUGGUGUGGUGAAAGAUUUUUUCCCAUAGUUUAUAUUUUUGGUAUAAUUGCAUCGUUUAAUAAGAACAAUAUGCAUCUGUAAAUUAGUUUGAAUGAUGACAGAGAUCAGGGAGUAACAUUUUACUUCAUUAAAUGUAUAUUAAUAAACUGUCGGAAACAAACAAAAAUGUAUUUCCUAUAUUAUAGUCAAGAAUCAUUUGUUCUGCUUCUUUUUUUGUUAAGUAAACCACACAAUCUAAUUUGUUUGCCCUAUAAUCUCCAGAUUGGAUUUGUACUGUGGAUUUGUUUUUGCUCUGGAAGCAUGUUCUGGUUUAUUUAAAAUACAGCACAUAUAUGUAUAACACAAUGUGGGGUUAUUAAAUAAUUGUUCACAACA